rnacentral:rRNA from 1 species
GAUGAACGCUAGCGGGAGGCUUAAUACAUGCAAGUCGAGGGGCAGCGGAGGACUUCGGUCCUGCCGGCGACCGGCGCACGGGUGAGUAACGCGUACACAACCUACCUUUAAGAGGGGGAUAGCCUUGGGAAACUGAGAUUAAUACCCCAUAGUAUUGUGAUUUUAUUACAAUUAAAGCUGAGGCGCUUAAAGAUGGGUGUGCGUCCCAUUAGCUAGUUGGUGAGGUAACGGCUCACCAAGGCGACGAUGGGUAGGGGGCGUGAGAGCGUGACCCCCCACACGGGUACUGAGACACGGACCCGACUCCUACGGGAGGCAGCAGUAAGGAAUAUUGGACAAUGGGCGCAAGCCUGAUCCAGCCAUCCCGCGUGCAGGAUGACGGCCCUCUGGGUUGUAAACUGCUUUUGGAAGGGAAGAAACCCUGGGAUUUACUCCCGGGCUGACGGUACCUUCAGAAUAAGCACCGGCUAACUCCG